rnacentral:sRNA from 1 species
AGUUAAUAACUAAAAGCCAAUGACAGCCAUUGUAAAUAAGUCCCAACUCCAGGAUUUAUUUCAUAAAAUGACUGCAAAAAUGUAUAUAUAGAUUCAAAUUAGAAAAUGGGUUUAAAAUCUCUCUUUA